rnacentral:rRNA from 1 species
UACGUAGGGUCCGAGCGUUGUCCGGAGUUACUGGGCGUAAAGCGCGCGCAGGCGGCGGUAUAAGCAUGGCGUGAAAGCCCCAGGCUUAACCUGGGAGGGUCGUCGUGGACUGUACCGCUUGAGGGCGGUAGGGGCUGGUGGAAUGCCUGGUGUAGUGGUGAAAUGCGUAGAGAUCAGGCGGAACACCCGUGGCGAAGGCGGCCAGCUGGGCCGUCCCUGACGCUGAGGCGCGAAGGCGUGGGGAGCGAACGGG